CGGCUGAACUGGUACUUGGAGGAANGAGGGGUCGACUUUGCAAAUGGAUGAGUGAUCGUUAGAAUAUCCUUAGUCCCCUGGUAUUCUUGACACAUGAGGUAUAUACUUCUAGUCCAUAUUGGGGGGAGACUCCACGUCGAUUUAUCGAGUAAAAUUCUGUAUACAUAUUGAUAAUGACAAUAUGUACAUUUGUCUUGACUAAUUACGUGCCAGCAGUCGCGGCAAUACGUAAGAGACUAGUGUUAAUCAUCAUAAAUAGGUUUAAAGGGUACUCAGACGGAAAAAUUCGCCCAAAUAUAGGGGACAAUUUUUCUAGAGUUUUAUGUAAGAAGGUCGUACUCUAGAGUGGAGAGAUAAAAUUCUGUGAUACAUAGGGGACGGGUUACGGCGAAGGCAAUCUUUUAUGUAAAUACUGACGUCGAAGGACGAAGGCAAAGGGAACAAAAAGGAUUAGAUACCCCAGUAGUCUUUGCAGACAAAGAUGAAUGCCAUAGGUUAGAUUUUUAAUUUAGCCUAUAAAUGAAAGUGUAAGCAUUUCACCUCAAGAGUAAGGCGGCAACGCAGGAACUGAAAUCACUAGACCGUUUCUGACACCAGCAAUGAAGUAUGUUAUUUAAUUCGGUGGCCCACGAAAAACCUUACCACAAUUUGAAUAUUAAUAAUAAUGAUAUUAUUUUUUAUGCUUGAUAUGGCAGGCACAUUUCCCCCUCCCCGCUGUUUGCGGCGGGGGGGGAGAAAAAGAAAAAUAAUGGAUAAUAUAGUAAAUACCAUAUUCCAACUAUAUUUAAUUAUUAAUACAAGUGUUGCACGGCUGUCUUCAGUUGAUGUUGCGAAACUGUGGUUCGUUCCAUGGAAUUAACGUAAACCCUUGCUUUAUUUGGUAAAUAUUAUAAAGCAGUUCACCUUUAUAUAGGCAAUGAUCAAAGGGAUCAAGACAAGUCAUCAUGGCC
rnacentral:rRNA from 1 species